ensembl:lncRNA
AAUAACUGCCACGGAGGAUGACAUCACAGAAGUCUGGCCUGUGCCAACAUUCUGUGCAGGUGAGGUCAUUGCCCUCAGUGGGACUGUGAGCCACAUGUGGAGCACACUGGCUCUUGUGCAGUGGCCACUCUCUCCACAUUGGUCCACUUCCCAGCCCAUCACGGGGUGGCAGGUGUAGACGGGCUCUUACAGGGCUCAUGACCAAUGGAACGUAGUUGUAAACUAACCCCAGAGCAGGGAUGAGUAAGUGUACAGCAUUCCUUCAAAUCAAUCACAACAGAGCUGCCCCUUCUCUGCUCGCAGGUCUUCCUCAGGCUGGGUAAGAGGUCAGUGCUGUGGGCUUUACCCUCAAUUGACAGUCACCAGAAAGCGAUGACAAAUUGAACAUACCACAGUGGGACAAGGACACUGGCAGAUGAACCUUGCCCAAAUCUUUUAUGUUAUCUAAGAUCUUAGCUAAGGACAGUAUGAUGUUUCAGUUGCCAAGGUAUUCUAAACUCUACUUCCCUAUUUUCAUACACAUGAGUAGACCCAUGAUGCAUUUAAUUAGACCCAUGAUGCAGUGUGUGUAAACUGCUUGGGCAAUCUUUGGGCCCAGCAGUGAGAGCACCAGGAUGAGACCUGGGGUUUCCAUCCAGGCUCCACUCUGGUUUCCAGCUUCAUCCUGGGGCUCCAGCAACUUCAGACACCUAGGAGGAGCAUGCGCUCUCGCUCCCUCCUUCUUAAAUAAAUAAAGAAAAAAUUCUUAGAAAAUGAAAUCUUCAAAUUAUAGAGUCUAGGCAGAUUGAACAUCAAUGCUGGCCUCGGCUCCACACUGGCCCAGUGCCAAGGGAAGGGCCUAGAACAAUUGGAGCAGUGGGCAGUGGAGCAAACUGCCCAUGGACAGGCACCUGCCCAAGAGUCACCGUGCCCGGCCACUAGAGUACCUCCAGCUGCCAGGCCACACCCCACCCACCCUCUUGGAACCAUUUCUCCCUCCCCACCCCAAGGGGUCCCACCCAGGUCUCUGCCCCUCAGUGACUUUGGGGGAGGGGCUCAUAUACACGGACCCAGUGCCAAGAGGGACAGCAGGUUCUGCCACCCACACCCACCCGUUGAAACCUCCAGAGUCAGCAACUGGGACUGUGUUGUGUGGGAAGUUGCCUUCCAGGAUCUGGGCUGCUGGGGUCCCUGGUGCAUCUGUCAGCAAGGCCAGGCCCUCCUGGGGAGCUUCCACAACCACAGUGGGGGAAGGGGCACAGUUAGAGGGAGACAGAAGCCACAGAAGCUGACACUGUGCCCCAACCCCUGUAGCCUCUGUAUCCCUGCCCCACCUGCCCUGGCCUGGCUGGCCCCUGCAAAACCUGGUUUCUCCCCAGGAAUGUUUGUUCCCGUUCUCUGCUGGGGGAGUUUUUUCAUGGCGGGGCCUCAUCCUCGACGAAGCUGUGGGACUCAGAGCCAGGCUCUGUGUGGCCCGACGAUCCUGCUGACCCCGGCCUCCUGUAGACCAUGGGCCGCCAUACCCCUGGCCGCAUUUCCAGCUUUUCAAGUGGGAAGAAACCACCCUGCGUCCCAGGACUUGCACUUCUGUGGGCCAUCCUCAGCAAGGUUUCUUACCUGGAGCACACCGGAGAUCAACACAGCCCCGCUAUCCUAG